rnacentral:lncRNA from 1 species
AAAAAUGAAUUGCAGGAAAAACUGAAAAAUACAAUAAAAUAAAACUCUGCUACUACUUCUUCAAGCACAUGAAGAAGUUCAGUCUCCAAAACCAACUCUGCUACGGUAUCCUGGUGAAGAAGGUUCAGCCAUAAUACGCUGUAAAAUCUCAAACCCGCAUAGUAAAUAGAGUCAUCAAUAAAUCAUUAUCUUGAUGAGAUAUACACGGUUAGACCAGUUAGCUGUUUGGAAACUCUUGUUUCCACGGUGGAAGUAAAAUCUACCUCAUGUAGUUCAAACAAACGCAUGUUUAAUGACAUGCCACCGGGAAAUUAAACACUGUGCAAAUCAAUUAUGGGGUUGAAUGUUACCCGUACUACUAGUGAAAAGAUCAUCAAAAUAAAGCUCAGCUACACCACAAAGCUCAACCUGUUCAUCAACAAAUUCAUCAUCACUUCUUUGCAACUUCGAUAUAUGAUUUUGCUUCCUUCUUGCACUAAUCAUGACAUCAAAAAACUUUGAAUUUUUAUCAUCUUUCUUCAACCAAUUUAUAUUUGUUCGUUAUCUCCAAAAUGCAUCCUCCUUGGCCAAGAGAUAGCUCAUGCAUUGUCUAGUGUCAAUGUAUCGCUUAACCGCUUCUUUAUCCUCCUUCUCUCUAAGUAGUUCUAUUUCUCUUCAACAUUCUUCAAUUGUCAUCUUAAAACUGAAUGCUCAGCCUCCACCUUUCCAAAUCCUUCCUACAGCUGCUAAUUUUAUAAAGAAACUCUCCACCUCCGUUGCCAUUCCAACCUGUAACCAUAAGCACUACAUCUUCGAUAUCCUUCUCCUCAUCUAACCAUGUGUUUUCGAACUUGAACAACCUUGUCAUUGUGCUUCUCUCCUACUCCAAGUGUAUUGAUACCCUUUCAGCAGUAAAUUCAUU